rnacentral:rRNA from 1 species
UACGUAGGCAGCAAGCGUUGUUCGGAAUUACUGGGCGUAAAGGGUUCGUAGGUGGCCAACUAAGUCAGACGUGAAAUCCCUCAGCUUAACUGGGGAACUGCGUCUGAUACUGGUUGGCUUGAGUGCAGGAGAGGAAUGCGGAAUUCCAGGUGUAGCGGUGAAAUGCGUAGAUAUCUGGAGGAACACCGGUGGCGAAGGCGGCAUUCUGGACUGCAACUGACACUGAUGAACGAAAGCCAGGGGAGCAAACGGG